CGAGUUUGAUCCUGGCUCAGAAUGAACGCUAGCGAUAUGCUUAACACAUGCAAGUCGAACGUUGUUUUCGUCUAUAGAACAGUUGAAGACAAAGUGGCGAACGGGUGCGUAACGCGUGGGAAUCUGCCAAACAGUUUGGGCCGAAUCCCAAAGAAACGAAAGCAGCUUUGCUGCUUGCUUGCUUGCUUGCUUGCUGCUUUUCGAUAAAGCUAAAAAGCGCUGUUUGAUGAGCCUGCGUAGUAUUAGGUAGUUGGUUGGGUAAAGGCUGACCAAGCCGCAGAUGCUUAGCUGAUCUUUUCGGACGAUCAGCCACACUGGGACUGAGACACGGCCCAGACUCCGUAGGGAGGCAGCAGUGGGGAAUAUUGGACAAUGGGCGAAAGCCCGAUCCAGCAAUAUCGCGUGAGUGAGUGAAAAACGUCGCUAACGCGAGGAAGGGCAAUGCCGCUUGUAAAGCUCUUUCGUCGAGUACGCGAUUAUGACAAGACUCGAAGAAGAAGCCCCGGCUAACUCCGUGCCAGCAGCCGCGGUAAGACGGGGGGGGCAAGUGUUAUUCGGAAUGACUGGGCGUAAAGGGCACGUAGGCAGUGAAUCAGGUUGAAAGUCAAAGGCGCCAGCUCAACUGGCGGAAUGCUUUCAAAACCAAUUUACUCGAGUGGGACAGAGGGGAGUGGAAUUUCGUGUGUAGGGAUAAAAUCCGGAGAUAUACGAAGGAACGCCGAAGUAGCGAAGGCAGCUUUCUGGGUCUCUACUGACGCUGAGGUGCGAAAGCUUGGGGAGCAAACAGGAUUAGAUACCCUGGUAGUCCAUGCCGUAAACGAUGAGUGUUCGUCCUUGGUCCGCGGAUCGGGGGCCCAGCUAACGCGUUAAACACUCCGCCUGGGGAGUACGGUCGCAAGACUGAAACUCAAAGGAAUUGACGGGGGCCUGCACAAGCGGUGGAGCAUGUGGUUUAAUUCGAUACUACGCGCAAAACCUUACCAGCCCUUGACAUAUGAACACUUGACGUAUGAACACUUGACAUAUGAACCGGUGUGCUUGUCCUUAACGGGAUGAAACGAAAAUUCAUACAGGUGCUGCAUGGCUGUCGUCAGCUCGUGUCGUGAGACGUUUUUGGUUAACUCCUAUAACGAGCGAAACCCUCGUUUUGUGUUGCUAAGAUAUGCUGCUCCCAGAGGAUCAAUGUCAUCAUUCACCCUCGGCAAGCAGGAACAUAGAACAUGGGCUGGCUUCCGACGAACUUGAGGUUCCGACGAGCGAGCCGGUGGUAAGUGAGCCGCUUCAUCGGUACCUGCCCAUGAAUCUGUGUUCAGUCAGCGGUUAGCCAGGAUUGAUGACACUCCCUCUGUGCCGAUGUUGCACUCACAAGAGACUGCCCGUAGUUCUACUAUGGAGGAAGGUGAGGAUGACGUCAAGUCCGCAUGGCCCUUAUGGGCUGGGCUACACACGUGCUACAAUGGCAAUUACAAUAGGAAGCAGGGCCGUAAGGCGGAGCGAAUCCAGAAAGAUUGCCUCAGUUCGGAUUGUUCUCUGCAACUCGAGAACAUGAAGUUGGAAUCGCUAGUAAUCGCGGAUCAGCAUGCCGCGGUGAAUAUGUACUCGGGCCCCGUACACACCGCCCGUCACACCCUGGGAAUUGGUUUCGCCCGAAGCAUCGACCAGAGAUCACCCAUUACUAAAGUGUUCCAUGCCGCCGUUGAGUGUGGCCCAUUUUGGUAUUGGUGGUCUUCUUGGCGCAUAUCACGGUUGGGUCAGUGACUGGGGUGAAGUCGUAACAUGGUAGUCGUAGGG
rnacentral:rRNA from 1 species